CAUUCAACAAGCUUUUUAGGGGGGUCUAA
rnacentral:piRNA from 1 species